GCUACGGGAGGCAGCAGUGAGGAAUAUUGGUCAAUGGGCGCGAGCCUGAACCAGCCAAGUCGCGUGAGGGAAGACGGUCCUAUGGAUUGUAACCCUCUUUUGUCGGGGAGCAAAAGACGCCACGCGUGGCGUUCCGAGAGUACCCGAAGAAAAAGCAUCGGCUAACUCGGGUCCAGCAGCCGCGGUAAUACGGAGGAUGCGAGCGUUAUCCGGAUUUAUUGGGUUUAAAGGGUGCGUAGGCGGAAGAUCAAGUCAGAGGUAAAAUUGAACGGCUAAACCUCGUCGAGCCGUUGAAACUGGUUGUGUUGAGUGAGUGAGAGGGAGGCGGAAGUCGUGGUGUAGCGGGGAAAUGCAUAGAGAUCACGCAGAACUCCGAUUGCGAAGGAAGCAUAACGGCGCUCAACUGACGCUCAUGCACGAAAGUGUGGGUAUCAAACAGGAUUAGAUACCCCAGUAGUC
rnacentral:rRNA from 1 species